AUGUCUCUCUAACAAGAGAAAAAACAUACUGGGUUAUAGUUGCUGAAACUGAAGCCUAUGAAGUGAAAUAAUUUACCUAAGAUGGUACUGUGAGUUUAUGCAUUAUAGAGUCUGAGUGGUUCUUUGGGAUCUUUUGCUUCCCUUCUUGUUUGAGAUGCAUAAAGAAAGACACAUUUACUAAUUACAUGGUGUUUUGAAGGGUUUCCUGUCUGUCCAUCCAUCCAUCCAUCCAUCCAUCCAUCCAUCCAUCCAUCAUCCAUCCAUCCAUGUAAAAACAUGGUACAGCUUUUCACAGAGCCUAUGAAUGAACCAUUCUCUAUAUCUUGGAUCCAAGACUACAAUCCUGACAUAAGCAAAGUUCAUUGAGGGUUAUUAUCAAGACAACGGAAGGAGGGAAAACAUCUAUCCAAUGAAUCUACUGAUGCUGAUUUACCUACAGGGCACUUUGCCUACAUCUCCUAAUAAAGGUGCCAGCCUGACUCCCGCUCAGCACUGCAAGAGGAAGCUAGAAACGGGACUCCACAUGUACUGUCAAUCAGCUCCACAAUGGCCUGUUUUGGGAACCACCAACACUAGUACUGGUCACCUCGUGCCAACAUUUUUGGUCUCUUCCUUUCCAGCUAAGGAAGUUUGCAGCUUCUCAAGAAAUUGCACAGGAACCAGUAGAAUGUCAAGGCACUUGCUACCAAACCUCAUGACCUGAGUUUGAUCCCUGGAACCUACUAAUGCUGCUCACAGUUCCUCUGUGUCCUCAAUAAGUGUGCACAGUGCAUGUGUACACGUACACAAUAAAUAUGUGCAAUUUUUUUU